CAAUAUUUUGGCAGAUUAGAUAAUCGCGGAUUUGGGAUGUUUAUUAGCAGUCUGAGGUGCAGCCGCAUAAGCAGUAGCACCUGAAUACCGUAAGAAGAAGGUACUGAUUUCUAUGAUUUUGGUUUAGGAAGUUAAUCUUGAUUAACUAAUAAGUGCCGAAAUUUGCCAUGGUUGUCAUUACAACAUUGACUUAACACUAUGUCAUAAAAGGCAUGCUCGUGUGGUUUGAUGCUGCGAUCAUGAGUUUAUAUACAACAUAGUGUUAAUUGAAAACCUAGGAUGUUGAGUAGUAUUUGUAUUAGUCUAAACUUUGAAGCACAUAAGGUGGAAAAACAUUAGCAGGGAUUAUAAUGUCUUAUUAAUUGAAAACAUGAAUGAAAUCGUUAACAAACAAAUUAACCGAUAAUAAAUAUCAGAUAUAAUUAUAAUAUAAACUACAAAAUAAGACAUUUAGCCAAACAUUAUAACAAAUAUGACGAUAAAUAUCACAUAAUUAUAAGUCUAUUGGCCUAAAUUAAAUGAAGAUGAGUGUAAACUAAACAUUAUCAAAAACCUCACGAUAAACAACAUUUGUAGUGGUAGUGCAGACUGCACCUUCNNNNNNNNNNNNNNNUUUUGUUUAUAGUCAUUGCUAGACAAAGAGUCAGUGGGAACUGUUUGCGCCUAAAUUUAAAUGGUAGUCCAGGAUCGCUAGGGAUCAAAUUCAACCUUGACACAAAUAUCUUGUCUCCUGCAUUUUUUCCUGUAAUUACUAUUGCACCAAUAAAUUUAUUCCCCAACUCAGUUAUAGUUAGCCUAGUGCCAUUACACAAACCAGCUGCUUGAUCAAUGUUCCUCAUAAGCAUUGCAGGACAACCGACUUUUAGUUUUAACCUGUGAUUAGGAAUUCCUGAACACUUGAUGUCGUUCAAAAAUUCUGGAGUAAACCAGUCAGGCUGAAUUUCUGAAUUUGAAUCUGACUGACAAACACUAUCACAACUCAGAUAUUCUCUCUCAGUACCCGGAAUGAUGGACAUAAGAUAAUCAUUAACAUGUUCAACAGAUUCCAGUGUCGGUGCAAGAAUUCCCCUAUCUUGGAAAUAUGAAGGAUUUUUCAUGUUACUCAAAAGAUCAGGAUAUGUAAAAUUAACCAAAGACAUCAGGGGAUCAUGGCAGUCUUGAAUAAGCAAGUCUUGAGGAAUAUCAAUGACAUAUUGACCAUUCUCAUCGGGACCAGUUUCACCAUUACCAAUAGAAAGUAUCCAAUCUGCAAAGUUUUUUAUUUCUUCUUCCUCAGAUUGAAUUGUGGAAGAGCCUAACCGCAUAUUUUUGGUAAGCCUUAGAACACGACAAUAACUCCAAAGGUCGGAUGAAUUAACUGUCGAGCUAAUAAUGUCUUGCCUAUUUCCCUUUCUGACAACAGGUAAAAUCUGUCUGAAAUCACCUCCCAACACAACUGUCAUUCCACCGAACGGUUUAGUAUUGGCUUCUGGAUUAACAGAAGACAUUAUAUCGCGCAUUGUCCUGUCAAAAGCCUCAAAACAAAACCUAUGCAUCAUCGGUGCUUCGUCCCAUAUGAUAAGUUUAGUUUUCCUAAGAAGUUCAGCCCUUACACUCUUCCAUUUAAUACCACAUGUAGACUGUUCAUUUAACAAAAAUGGGAGAGCGAAAGUAGAAUGAGCUGUUCGUCCCCCUGGCAACAACAACGCUGCAAUACCACUUGACGCCGCAUUAAGAACAAUGGAGCCUUUAGAUCUAAUGGCCGCAGAUAAUGUAUUCCACAAAAAUGUUUUACCAGUGCCUCCAUAACCAUAUAAAAAAAAGAAACCACCAACACCAGUCGAAACUGAAUCCAUAAUCUGGUUAUAAACAGACCUCUGCUCUUGAGUUAGCUUCAGCAACAUUGAUUCAUGUAAUUUGGCCAUUUCCUGUUUGUCAUAGUUUAAUUGAUCCAAAAUUAACUUGUUGUUGGUGUUGAUUGUUUUCAAUAUGUCGGGGUACGGCAUUGUUUUAAAUUUUUUGAGACUCUUCCCAUUUGAUUGAAGCAACUUCUCAACUUCAAUCAAACAUAAAGUCUUCAGAUCAUCAUCGCUGAGCCGAAAAUCUGUAAAUAUUUAACUUAAAUACUUAGAAUUGAAAAGAAUGUUUAAUCAUAUUCGGGAAAAAAGCACAAAAAUUUGAAAAAUAUACUAAAUACGGGUAAAAUACACACCUUGAUUGUGCAGCUGUUUUCUCUUUUCAUACAAAAUUCCAUCGGCCAACAACUUCCAUGUAGCGUUCCAAACAACAAAAGGAUUUGACAUUGUGUUCAUAAUUAAUAAAUAGGCAAAAAAACUUCUUAACUGAUGCCCAGAACCCAACUCACCUAUUUCAGUAAUUGCAUCAAUAAAUUCUCUAUCAUCAUCUAGUAAAUUCAGUUCACCACAUGCCUCUUGAUAAGUAUCAAAUUUUUUGCCAUUAACCGUUUUUAAACAUCUAUAACUCUUACAACCUCGCUGAACAUUCAACAAUAUACGCAUGUAAUGUAAUUGACCUACCCCAGGUGGAAUGUACUGCAGUCGACCCACUUGCUGGCCAUGCUGUCUUGGCUUCCACAUCCUUAAGUCCUUAUGAUACACAAAUUUAGAUGGAAACUCAACAUACGUUAAAUCUCGGCCUUCAGGGUACCGUCUGUUUGCAUCAAACCAGGCAAGAAACAUAGUAUUUCUAUCUUCAUUUCUCAUAACAACAGAAUCAAUGUCGUCAGAUUCUUCAAACAGAAUGGAUUGUUCAUUGGCCAAAUGGAAAGUCAGUUUCAAGACAGAAGGCCACUUCUGGUGAAUAUCAAAAGCUAAAAUCCUCCAAACUGCUUCACAGGGAGAAACAUAUCUACAAUCAUAGUAUUGCUUGAUUUCGUCCACUGGCUUUGAUGUAUCAUUCUUGUCCGAUGACCGCCAUAAUUGCAUCGUCGUCCUAUCAGGUCCUUUGUUGACAUAUUUAAACAAAUAUUUUAUGGAAUUAGACUUGUUACAAUACUCAACGUUAAUGUGACCUGCAUAUCUCAUUAACAGAUGAGGAUUGUAUGGGACAACAUAACGGUUAUCCAACUGCACACCCUUUUUUUCAAUUGACACUCCGGUAUCUCGACGCUUAUAGCGUGGGUAACCAUCUUCGUCAAUUGUGGUGGAGUUUUGAAACUUCUUAGGAAAAUAUUUAGAACAUCCUGUAUCUGUCAUGCAAGGUGACUUACGAUUAACAUCACCACACGGACCAUGAAUCAUGAAAGCAGAUACAGCUUGAGCCAAUCUUGGAUAAAGCGAUUUAUCUGGUAAUUCUGCUGAAAUAACCCUGUCAAUGUCGUUCCCUGUUUUCAGUUUAUUGCGUGAACUCAACCAAAUAAGAAUAUGUGCAUGUGGUAGUCCUCUCUUCUGGAACUCAACAGUAUACAUACCUACAUAAUACAAAUUUUAUACAUAAAUAUCGUGUAUUCAAAUUAUACUAUAAAAAUGUCAAAUAUAAAGACCGCAAUCUAGAUAGAAUCUGUUUAAGUUGAACGUACCAGCAUCAACUUCCCCAAACAACUGAUCUUUUUUUAGGUCAUUCAUCAACCUAUCCAACUUCAUUUUGAAAACACGACAAACAAUAUCUGGUCUGUCAGAUGCCAUCAAGUUCCUGGGUUUCAAAACAUCUUGAAUCUCACGCCAGUUUGAAUUGCAAGUAAUGGUGAUAAAUAAAUCUGGGUAACCAAAUUUUUUGCAAAUUGCCAUGGCAUCCUGACAAUUGUUGAACAUGUAACGCUUUCCACCUGUGAAAGAAGCAGGCAACACAAUUUUUUUACCAAUAUUAGAUGGGUCAGUUUCACCACUGCUAAUAGCUUCUUGUAACCCAGUUAAUAUGUCACAUCUUAUGGUUUUCUGGUUAUCCCUUGCCCAUUGUAGUCGCUGUGAUUCAAACAUAGUAAAACAAUCGACAACAAAUUGUUGGAAAAGUCUCCUUGAUAAGACAAUAUUACCAAAUUCCACAGUUCUAUCUUGUAUUCUAAAAGCAAUGAAUUCUCUCAUGGAUACAUAUUCCCUUUGCCGUGUCUUAUUAAGUUCUUCGGAAGAUCGAAUUUUAAUGUUCAGAUGAAAACCAUCCUCACCAUAUGGAAAUAGAAUAGGGUAUUGAAGUGGUAGAAACAUUGCUUGUGUUUCAUACAAUCUUUGAUACUCCCCACACGAAUUCUUAACAAUAAUGUCUCUACCCUUUUCAAGAUUUUUACAAUCUCCAAUAAUCAAUGCGGCAACCUCGUCACAAGUGGGAAGAUUGUGUGUUCUCGAGUCUUUUGAACGACCGCUGAAUAAUCUUAUGCAAAAGUCUUGACUUCCUCCACGUUCAACAUGGUCCCUUACUUGGCGAAACUUUUUUGCAUAUCGGCUAUGUGCAUCAACCAUUUGUUUGAGUUCUUCAACUAAAUUCACGUCCAGUGCCUUUGAUGGUUCAGUCGAACUGGACAACACAGAUAUAAAAUCAACAAACUGGAUAUUUAUUUAAUUGUAUUAAAAAACUAUUUAUAACUAUAAAUUAUAAACUAACCUGAAGUGCUUCAUCCUGUUCGAAGACUCGUUUUGAGUAUCAUAUAUGUAUAGCUGUGCAAACUUUGGCGUAGAAUUGCAUUGAGGAAGCAAACUGCCAAUGCGAUGGUAAUUUUGACCGCUCAAUAUAAAUUGCCAAGGUCCACCGCCGUCGUUUCUCUCUCGCUCGACCUUUCCACCGAGAGAUGUAUAGGAAAACAUACUGUUAUAGGCCCUGAAAUUCUGAAUAAAAUGGUUGCUUUUCGGAUGUGUACCAUUAAUUAAGUCGAACAAAAGUGCAGGGGGCUUAUCAAGGAAAGGUAUUUGAACAAAGCCCCUCUGACAGCACAAAGAGAACUCGAUGUUACGCGCUGUCAUAUUAAUUUCAGCACGUUCGUCAAACCACAUUCUUGAAAAACACCACUUGCAUUCAAAGGAUGGAUCACCAACAUCAACACAAACUGGAUAAGUAAAAAAAAAUGAAAAAGUAAGCUUGUAAUAAAAGUUAUAAAAUUUAAGUACGUAAAUAAUCAAAUAUAAGGAUGCUGGGUGAUAUUUACUUUCUGCUUCAGCCAUCUCAUACAUCAUUGAUCUAAUUAAUGGGUUUACAUCACGAACCUCAUCGUCUGUUUUAAAAAACAUGUUACAUACAAUCAUUAGUUUUUUGCGUUACAGAAUGAAAAUAGCUCUAUUGUGUACAUAUACAUAUAUAUAGAUUACCUUCAAAUUGAUCAUGUUGUUCGUCAGAAUCAAUCACACAUUCGUCUCCAAAAUCAAUUCUAAGAAUGGGGAUUGAUUUUGGCAAAUUAGAACUACGCAUAUUCGUUAUUGGCUGUGCAUUGCUCGAUGAUGGAUCAAUGACCUCAGAAUUUGGUGUAAGAUUGGUUAAACUACCUAACAAUGUAUUAAAUUGAACGGUAACAAAAAAAAAGUAGUAAGUGUUUAUCGUAAAAUAUUUGGGUAACAAUAACGAUAAUGAAUUAUAAGUAUAUUACCUGUUCCAAAAAAUGGACUUGAACAAACAUUUGACUUCUGUGAUGUUGGUGUUACCAAAUUCAUUGAUGAACCUAAAAAGAACGGUAUGUAUGAAAUUGCAAACUAAUAUAUAUGUUAAGUUUCGACAGAAAAAAAAAGAAUACACUUUUUAAGUAAAUAAUACAAUAUAAAAUACGUUCACCUGUUAAAAUUUCUCCAUUCUUAUUUGUUUGUUCAGAUAAUAUCCUCUUUUGUCUUUUGCUAGCAAGUGUAAUAUUCUGACGAUAUACUUCCGGAUUCUCUUGAACUACACAAAAUUGUGUCAGUAAAUAUGUUAAUUUUUCAUCACAAUCCAAAUAAUUCACGCAUAUACAUAAUUUAUAGAAAAAAAAUGUAACCAUUCGUUAUAUUUCGUAGCGGUGUCCUGUCCGUAUUAGAUACGAUUGUAUUAGAAUUCUCCGACUGAUGAAACUCUGACAAAUUAGUGUGUGAUGCUGGACAUAUAAACAGGGGAAAAGUUGUCAAAAAGAGUAAUAUCAAAGUAUGUAUGACAUAACAAAAUAAUAAUGAAUUUCGACCAUAAAAUAUAAAUUAUUACUUGAUUGCUUCUUUCUCUUAUUCGACAUAAUAUUUCUUCUUUUGUCUCUGGCAGCCUUUGAUAAAACCCUGGUUAUAUUUUUUAGUGUAUAGUGAGGAUCAGACAUUGUAAGAAUUGUUUUCGGUCUAUAACAACAACGUAAGUGGAUGGUUAGUCUGUUUGAGUUUAGCAAUUGAUGGGUAUUUUAUAAUACCCUUUUCAGUAUAAUUAAGUCACCCAAAUUCUCUCUUUUAGUUUCUGAUUUUUUAUAAGAAACACAUGGAAUGAUAUUAAUGCAUAUAAAAUGUGACUUAAUGAAUUCUGAUACGAUCAUGAUCAUAUGAUAAAACCGAAUCAGAUGAGUAUAAAUGCAUACCCUAUUUUCUGAUUUGUUAGUAAAUGUCGAUAUUGUUACCAAACUUAUCUAUCAAUCCCAUUCAUUACACUUAAUUAUCUAAGGAUAUGGCUUUACCACUGAGUAUAGCAGAGGCCAAUAAGGUCAUAUUUUCAAUUGUGAUUUAAAUUUUGUGCAUGAACUUAUUAUUAAGUCAUACCACUUCAAACUUACAACUUUGAGUAUAUAUCAUGACAGUGGCUGAUCACAGAAAGGGCAAAAACACAAUGAAUGAAGUACAAAUCUAUGUUUGAAGCUGCUAGGUCGAAGACCGCUAACUCUCUUCCAGACGGCAAUUCUUCUGCAUGUCAAAGUACUUAAAUGCAAGGUAUUUAAGAGCAAACUUCUCAUUCUUUGUGCUUUCAAACCCAUGUCUGUCGUCAAAUAGUUUUGUCAUUAUCUUUAUAUAAUAAGUAAAACAGUCAAAAUGUUUCAAAAAAAAAUUAAAACAGUCAAAAGAAUCAAGGAAACUGCUCAAAUUAGUCAAAUCUGAUGGAAACUAUUUUUAGGUUUUGAAUGAAAUGAGAAGUCUGAAAAAAGACAAUAAUUUUUUGGAAACAUAUUAUUAAAAUAUAACGUUAUUUACACUUGUUUUAAAUAUAUGUUUAGUCCUGAAAAUUUUAGCGAUAUUUGGUUUCAGUCCCUCUAAGUUUUAUUUGCUUUGCUUCCUUGCAAAGUCAAAAUUGUUUACUUUCGGUCUCUUGUCAUUUCUCCAUUAAAAAAAGAUGUGGCAAACAACAGUCUAUAUGGAGUUGGCAGUUGACGACUCAACACUUAAUUCUUAUCUAUAUCUCACCUAUUAUUUUAGCUUAAGUUUUUAUUAAACAAAACUAAAAUUAGAUUAGGGUUCCACACCGUCCUUUCUCCCAAACUGAAGUUGUCUUCACUCCUCUCUCUCUCCCCAUAGUAUUUGAAUAUGUAAGAUAACAUGAAUAUAUGUUAAAUGCAAAGAAUGCAUUUACAGUAAUUAACACUGAAAAAAGUACCUCAACGAAAGGAGAUAACGUGUUCAUUCCCAUUAGUUUGUAAAUCAACAACACUGCUGAAAACUCCUCACAAGAAUUAGCAAUAUUUCUCAAAUUUACACACACACACGCACCCCUAUAAAUAUGUGUGUGUGUGUAUUAUCCAGAAAUUCAGCCAAGACAAUUCAAUAAUACAUCCACUGUGCAUAAAAUAAAAUAGUAACAACAACCAUACAACAUAAACGGUAAAAAUCAUUAAUAACUGAAAAUAAAAAUCAUUAUUAACCAUAACUGUAAAAAAUAUUUCAAACAAUAAAACCAAAACAACCUUAAAUAUCCAAAAUUAUUCCAAAAAAAAAACGAAACACAAAAACUGUAUCCAACAUACGAAAUAAAUCGUGUUCUAAAACAAAAGACAAUAUGUCAUAAGCAGUUCUCAAUUAUCCUUCAUUGUCUCCUCUUCCAAUCAUUUUUCUAAUAAUCAAUUUCAUUUGCACCGAAUUUGCCAAUAAGCACCGGAUCAUCAAACAUCCUUUUCACAAUGUAAUUCUUAGCAGUCUCAUUGAUAUUGUUGUGUUUGACAUCUAUCAUGAAUAAAAAGCUCUUGUUAACAAUGGCAGAUAUUGCUGAAGGUAUGUUAUCCUUAGCUGCAAUUGACUGAUACAAAAAUAAUAAACGUAAAAACAUAUAAGUUAAUCAAUUUUGAAAUCAUGCGACCUAAAAAUGUGAACAUGGAAUCAAUUUAAACCAUUUAGUAUGUAUAAUCUCACCGUUCCUUGAGAUAGAACCAUAUCAGAGCAUGAUACCCUAAAAAAACCCCGAGCAGCCUUGUCAAACACAUUAAAAGUUCCAGAGUUGUUGCUAUCAUCAACUUUGAUAUCGAAUCUAUAUCUGUAAGUAUAAAGAAAACUUAUAUUGUUGAUAAAAAAAUUUAAAAUGGUAAAUAUUGAAUUAAAAAAAGAAUAUACUGUUUAGAAAUAUAUAUGUGACCACCUUGGAAUCACUUGGAGAUUGUGACGAUUACAUGCUUGACAUAAGUAAACACCAUCUGAAGGUAUAACCUUUUGCAUGCAACGACAACAUGAUCCAUACCACCAGCCACUUUCCAGAACAACUUCUUUUAUAGUACCAAGGACAACAUAUGUUGCAGGCUGGUAUAAACAAAAAGUAAAUCUUCCAACAUUUAAUUUAAAUUUUAAAAUAAAAACAACUAUAUGUAUUUAGUUAUAAUAAAUGACAUUAGUAUAUUAUUUUUAUAUACAGAUCGUAGUAAUUUAUAGAUGUUUACCACAUCAGUGACGGCAAGACCACCAAUAGUCGCCUUAGGAGUAAUACUAAGUACAUGAUCUUCAUGAGCUAACAUAUCUGAAUGGCUCAAAAUCUUAACUUCUGGGAUAUCUUCAGGUUUUUCGAAUUUGUAAUCUUUUAUUACAUCCUGAAUGAAGAAUGUUUUCUUAACCUUUGAGAACUCAUUAAAGGUUAGAUGAUAUCCAUGUGAAGUGGUUCUGAUAGGCAUUACAUUCACAGAUGCAUUGAGAUUGGCAAAAAUAUAAAUUUCACCUUCCCUAAUAUGUGUAUGGAACAUAUUAUAAAGGGAUCUAGGAACUGACACGCCUAUUUUGUUACCCUGUUAGAAAAAAAUGAUUUUAUAUUAGUAAACAUAUUACAUAACUAUAUAAAUCAGUAAAAAAGAAACCACAAUAAUAUGGUGAAAACCAUGAAAAUACCUUUGAGUCCAUUACAAUAAGUUCAAUAGGGCAUGGUGGGUGUUGGUUAUUAAUAUCAUUAACACACCAUAACUUAAUAAUACAUCCAACAACACACCAUAAAUCCUUUUGUGUACUGACUUUAUCUAUCGAAUCAUAAAAAUCAGACAUUGUUGAUAUUUUUACCUUUGAUGGAUGAUAUUUUGAAUGAAAUUUUGAAUGAAAUGAGAUAUGAUUUUGUUAGCUCAUCAUGAUGAGUAUAUAUAGAUAUAAAAAGUUGUAUACAUAAUGGAAUGUGUAGUAAUGAGAAAUUAAAAUCAUCUAAUAAGUUUUAUCCAAAAUGCAAUUAGAUCCACUUUUUUUGGUGUCAGCAUGUAAAUUAUUGAUAUUUCGAGAUUAAGCGGAUGAUAUUGUGAAUUGUCAAUAAAUUGGAACCUAAUGUUGUUACCUUUUUCUAAUGAGUAUGAGUAUUAUAUAGAAUAUAGAAUAUAUAGAUAUAUAGCUAUAUAUAGAUAUAAAAAGUUGUAUACAUAACAAAUUUUAUUAAUGAGAUAUUAAUGUGAUUUAAUAAGUUUUUCCCACAGUAGAAUUAGAUCCCCUGAUUUUGGUGUCAGCACGUAAAUUGUUGAUAUUCUGAGAUUAAGUGGAUUAUAUUGUGAGAUUAAUGUUUUAAUAAGUUUUAGCACAGGUGAAUUUAGAUCCCCUUAUUUUUGUGUCAACACGUACAUGAUCUUAUAUGAACCUAACUUGGUCUAAGUAUUUAUACAGUACAAAAAUGUACAGCAUAUAUAGACUAUAGAAUGAGAUAUAUUAAAUAUAUGAGGUUUUUUUUUAAUAUAAAUAUAUUAGAAUAUUAGAAUUGUGUAGUUUGUUUAUAUAUUGCUUAAAUGAGCCUAAUUGUAUUAGUCGUAUGCUUUACCCAAGGAUUUUUUUUUAUAAAAUCGUUUAAAAUUUAUUUUAUAUGGUGUCUAAAGUGAAACUUUUUAGUAGAGUGUUACAUUUGAACUGGACCUAAGAUGGAUUAAAUUAAAACGUUCUAACUCGUAUUUUUAUUUUACACGGCAAAAAAAAAAAUUAUAACAUUCUACCUAUUUUACUCGUAUUUUUUUUUAAAAUAAUCACGUGUCAUUUUUUUUCUUCUAAUUAAAAUUUAGAUGCUGGCGUCAUGUGUCAAAUAUUUUUUUUUUUAAAAUAAUCAUGUCAUGCAGUACAUGACUAAAAACUAAAAAUAAGUAGCUUCUACUAAAGUUAAUUUCACCAGCUUCUAGUGCAUCUCACACAGCUUUUUGACAUGAUCAUCCUUCGAGACCCAUCCAUGCCAAACUAUUGAAUUUCGUUUAUUUUUUUAAUUUAUAGUCAUUUUUACUUUUUGCAGUAAGAUUAGUAGUAAAAUUCUCAUCCCAUAAGUGGCAACCACAUAAACAAAAGUACUGAUAUAUGAAAAUACUGACACAUAAACAUCGUUCAUAUACGGAAAUAAUAUGAAAAUACUGAACAAUUAAAAAUUACCACAUAAACAAAAAUAAUCUUCAAAACCCAGUUUUGAGAACCGGAGAAAAUCAAACUGACAGCAUUAUUAUUCUAUAGACUGAAGACGUUUGAAUGAUUGAAUGAGUGCAUCAUCGUCCGUGACUUUUGAAACUGGAUAAUACUUGUCAGCAUCAUCUUCUGCACUUACUUUGGUAAAAAUCAUGAAUAAAUAGCAUUUCCCCACCAUAUUUGAAAAUGACUCAGGUACAUAGUCAGGCACUGCAUCCUAUAUUUAACAAAAAUAUUGACGUAAUUAGAUUAAAAAACAAACAUUUGGUUUUAGUGGUAUAUGUUCAAUGCAACUUUUUUAUUUUUUAUAAUUUAUAUCACCUUUCCAUCAUAUUUCAGCAUUUGACUGCAUGACAUUCCAAAAAAUUCUGCCGCCAUACGAUCAUGCAUUACAAAUGCAGCCGAUCCCGUGGGGUCACUCACAUGAAGCCUUAUCAUAUAUCUAUAAGUAAACAAUACAGAAAACUAAUUAUAAGUCAUGCGCGCAACCAUUUAAAAUCGCAACUUUGCUAUUAGUAUGUUUUGAAAAAUUACCUGUAAUUGACCAUCAAAACAUGCCUAUUACACCUCUCACAAUAAUACUUGUGACCGUCAGGAAUCACUUUCAUAUUGCAUACACAGGAUAGAUACCACCAGUGACAAUCAGGUUCAAACGGUCCAACUUUGGCAAAUAUGACAUACAUUGACUCCUAAAAAAUUUAAGUAUAUUAAUCCGAUGUACUUUAUAUUACUUAUUAGGUGCAUAUAAAUCAUUGGCCGUGACAGUUACCGAUGCGCAACUACGUAUAUCAUAUAUAGUAGAUCUCUUGUUUGAGUACAACCAAUCUUUUGAUAUAUGCAUUUUUGUAGUUUCAUUCAUGUCAUAUACUCCAUUGCAUGGUGAACAUGUGAUGUCCGACAUCCUGUAGAUCCAAAUUACGUUUUAUUUUGUCAUUAAAACAUAAGUUGGAUGACGACUACAUAUAUAAACAAUUGUAAUUAUGAGGAAUUUAAACCUUUGCUUUAAAUCUAUAGCUGCGUCGUAAUUUGGAUUGAAUAUCAACUUUGUAUACUUCCCAUAGUUAUGAACAGUAGGUAUACCUGAAGUUUUAUACGUUAGGCUUUCGAAAGCAAUUAAAUUUAAAAAUUAUGUUUGAAAUGGUGUAGUAUUACCUUUCCAAUAAUUCAUCUUGCCAAGAAACAAUGCA
rnacentral:lncRNA from 1 species